rnacentral:rRNA from 1 species
AGUGAACGCUGGCGGUAGGCCUAACACAUGCAAGUCGAACGGCAGCACAGUAAGAGCUUGCUCUUACGGGUGGCGAGUGGCGGACGGGUGAGGAAUACAUCGGAAUCUACUUUUUCGUGGGGGAUAACGUAGGGAAACUUACGCUAAUACCGCAUACGACCUACGGGUGAAAGCAGGGGAUCUUCGGACCUUGCGCGAUUGAAUGAGCCGAUGUCGGAUUAGCUAGUUGGCGGGGUAAAGGCCCACCAAAGCGACGAUCCGUAGCUGGUCUGAGAGGAUGAUCAGCCACACUGGAACUGAGACACGGUCCAGACUCCUACGGGAGGCAGCAGUGGGGAAUAUUGGACAAUGGGCGCAAGCCUGAUCCAGCCAUACCGCGUGGGUGAAGAAGGCCUUCGGGUUGUAAAGCCCUUUUGUUGGGAAAGAAAAGCAGCAGGUUAAUACCCCGCUGUUCCGACGGUACCCAAAGAAUAAGCACCGGCUAACUUCGUG